AAAAUUCAAAAAAUUGGAAAUUUUCAUUUUUCGAUUUUUUUGAAAAAAU
rnacentral:sRNA from 1 species